UGCCCAGCAACUCCUAUCCCUACUUCCUCGCGGUACUGGCCGGGGUACGAGUAACCUUAGGGAAGAUCAGGUAACCAACCCCCGGUGGGAACUUUGGUCGUAUGCUGACAGGGAAGG
rfam:Aedes aegypti strain Liverpool supercont1.779 genomic scaffold, whole genome shotgun sequence.